GAUGAACGCUGGCGGCGUGCCUAAUACAUGCAAGUCGAGCGAACAGACGAGGAGCUUGCUCCUCUGACGUUAGCGGCGGACGGGUGAGUAACACGUGGAUAACCUCCCUAUAAGACUGGGAUAACUUCGGGAAACCGGAGCUAAUACCGGAUAAUAUAUUGAACCGCAUGGUUCAAUAGUGAAAUACGGUUUUGCUGUCACUUCUAGAUGGAUCCGCGCCGCAUUAGCUAGUUGGUAAGGUAACGGCUUACCAAGGCAACGAUGCGUAGCCGACCUGAGAGGGGGAUAGCCCACACUGGAACGGAGACACGGUCCAGACUCCUACGGGAGGCAGCAGUAGGGAAUCUUACGCAAUGGGCGAAAGCAUGACGGAGCAACGCCGCGUGAGUGAUGAAGGUCUUCGGAGCGUAAAAAUCUGUUAUGAGUGAAGAACAAAUGUGGAAGGAACUAUGCACGUCGUGACGGUACCGAAUAAGAAAGCAACGGCUAACUACGUG
rnacentral:rRNA from 1 species